AACGAACGCUGGCGGCAGGCCUAACACAUGCAAGUCGAACGCGUCCUUCGGGACGAGUGGCAGACGGGUGAGUAACGCGUGGGAACGUACCCUUUGGUUCGGAACAACUCCGGGAAACUGGAGCUAAUACCGGAUAAGCCCUUCGGGGGAAAGAUUUAUCGCCAGAGGAUCGGCCCGCGUUAGAUUAGCUUGUUGGUGAGGUAAUGGCUCACCAAGGCUACGAUCUAUAGCUGGUCUGAGAGGAUGAUCAGCCACACUGGGACUGAGACACGGCCCAGACUCUUACGGGAGGCAGCAGUGGGGAAUCUUGGACAAUGGGCGAAAGCCUGAUCCAGCCAUGCCGCGUGAAUGAUGAAGGCCCUAGGGUUGUAAAAUUCUUUCGACGGGGAAGAUAAUGACGGUACCCGUAGAAGAAGCUCCGGCUAACUUCGUGCCAGCCGCCGCCGUAA
rnacentral:rRNA from 1 species